ACCUAGCUACAGGGGUGCUGGUACAACCGGCUGAGACAAUACCCUCCGACCUGAUCAGGAUAAUGCCUGCGAAGGAAGUAGAGCCUCAGUUACA
rnacentral:ncRNA from 2 species